UCAAUCAUAUCCCUUGAACCCUCAAACGGCGUCCUGCUUUCUCAGCGGCGACACUGUGGCAACCAUAUGACUGCCGCAUGUGUCUCUUUUCCUGUUUUUCAUUUAUUUUUGUUUCCUAAUUUUCUUUUCUUUUACCUUUUCUAUAGCUUCCAUUCAAUUCAAUCAUGGCGAUGAUCCAGAAAACGCCAUAGCUUUCUUCCUCGUCUUGUUUUUUUUCCCUCAUCCUUCUCCUCUGCCCCUUCAAAUCGACGUCUUAUUCAAAUUUCUUCAAUUUCCCCUUUUCCACGCCUAACCCAUCGCGAAUUUCCCUCGUUUCUUACCUGGGUUUUCCCUGUUCUGCAAAAUUCUGUAGUUACCAGUCUUGCUCCUCUGUUUUAUUCAGGUUUCUUGCUCCUCUGUUUCUGUAUUUUCUGUUUUAUUUUUUCUCCAAGUAUUUGGAAAGAUUGCUGUUCUGUUUCAAUUAUUGUGGACGGUGUUUGUUUCCCGAUUCUCAUAGUUUGUUACUGUUCUUGAUUUCUUACUUGCCAAGUUAGAGGAAGAGCUUAGGAUAUCCGAUUUUCUGGUGAUUGAAAUCCAUGACGUUCCACGAGAUUCAUUCAUGGACCUUCUGUGGACUAGUCAGAGCUUUUCUUAACCUAGCUGUUGUUUAUUUUCUUUUGUGCGUGUCAGCGACUGUGUUUAUCCCAUCUAAGAUUUUGAAAGUUGUCGGGUUCUGCUUGCCUUGUCCUUGUACUGGAUUUUAUGGGAACCAGAACCCUAAUUUGUGUUUGCAUAGACUCCUUUUUAGUUGGCCCAAGAGGAAGAUCUAUUUGGUGCUCGAUUCGGUCAAGCAUAGGUUUCCUUUUGAUUUGAUUUUGGUCGAUGAUCAAAUGGGUAAGAAUAUGAAUUUGUCAAGGGAGAAUCAUCAUACAGAUGGAGUUCCUCUGCUGCAAUCUGCGGCAUGUUGUAGCAAGGGUAAUAGGAUUAUGUUCCAGAGGCCAAGGCGGAGGAGAGCUUCUGUUGAAUAUGGGAAAUUGUUCAGAAAGGAAUGGGAAUUUCUGGCAUUGGAUCAAAAACAAGACCUCAUUCCAGAUGAUGUUAAUGAAUCAUAUCAUAUGGACUUGGGUCGAAGAACCUGGCAAGGGUUCGAAUCAAGUGGUUUAGUUGGCGAAAAUAGUUGUCUGAAUAAAGGUUCUUCCACUAUUGGACAUGGUACCAAUAAUGAUCAAGAGAGAGACAUUUUUGGAAAUGAAGUCUCUAUUAGAUUGUUGGAGCAGGCUCUUGAAGAAGAGAAAGCUGCUCGGGCGUCUCUCUUUCUGGAACUGGAAGAGGAGAGAGCUGCCGCUGCUACAGCUGCCGAUGAAGCAAUAGCGAUGAUAACACGCUUGCAAAAUGAGAAGGCAUCGGUUGAAAUGGAAGCAAGACAAUAUCAGAGGUUAAUAGAAGAAAAAUUUGCUUAUGAUGAAGAAGAGAUGAAUAUCCUUCGAGAGAUUCUUGUUCAGAGGGAAAUAGAUUAUCAUGUUCUGGAGAAGGAAAUUGAAGCAUAUAGACAGAUGGAUUUUUCAGAAAAGGAAGAGUUAAAAGGAAACUGGGAUUUCAUAGUAGACGAACAUAAAGAACAGUCUUCCACAGCUCGUUACUCAAAUGGAGAUCCACCCGUAGUUCAUCAAAUUGAAAACGCUCUCUCUCUUUCAAGUAAAGCAAAGUCGAACGAAUCUAACAGUUGUAACUCUCAAUGCCACUUUAAUGAAGAAGGGUUGCUUAAGCAAACGAUCUGGACGGAUAAAGACAAUGAACUGAUGGAUAAUAGCUUAUUAUUUGAGCGCACUGCUAUUGAGGAAGCUCUACGUCGUGGUGGUUUUGAGAAAAGCUUUCUUUCUCGUGGGGGGGUGCAAAACAGAUUGGAACACAUAGAUCACACAAUUAAUGAUCUUGGAAGUUCCAUCCUUGAUAUGGAAAUAGACGUUCAAGAUAUCCAUGUGAUUGAUGAAAAACUCCACAUGGAUGACUCAAGAGAAGAGAGAAGUUGAUAAUUAACCAUCUAAAUCAACCAUAGAAGUAAAAUUCUGGGCUGUUUAGUUAUUUGUAGUUUGAUGCAGUGUGCUCCAGAAGAAUUUUGUCUAUAUUGAAAGGUCGUCGUCGCAGUGUCGUCCGGUUAGAAGGGUCAGAACUUCUCCAUCUGUGAAGAAAAGGAUAGAGAAUAAUGGAAUUUCCUGUUGAAAUACCAAACGCCAAGAUAUUUGAUGGUUUGGAGUUCCUUUUAAGGUCAGGAGGGGAAGAUUCAUGAGGAUUGUAAAUGCCGUUCUGUGAA